rnacentral:rRNA from 1 species
UAGGGAAUCUUCCACAAUGGACGCAAGUCUGAUGGAGCAACGCCGCGUGAGUGAAGAAGGUUUUCGGAUCGUAAAGCUCUGUUGUUGGUGAAGAAGGAUAGAGGCAGUAACUGGUCUUUAUUUGACGGUAAUCAACCAGAAAGUCACGGCUAACUACGUACCAGCAGCCGCGGUAAUACGUAGGUGGCAAGCGUUGUCCGGAUUUAUUGGGCGUAAAGCGAGCGCAGGCGGAAUGAUAAGUCUGAUGUGAAAGCCCACGGCUCAACCGUGGAACUGCAUCGGAAACUGUCAUUCUUGAGUGCAGAAGAGGAGAGUGGAAUUCCAUGUGUAGCGGUGGAAUGCGUAGAUAUAUGGAAGAACACCAGUGGCGAAGGCGGCUCUCUGGUCUGCAACUGACGCUGAGGCUCGAAAGCAUGGGUAGCGAACAGG